rnacentral:rRNA from 1 species
GACGAACGCUGGCGGCGUGCUUAACACAUGCAAGUCGAGCGGAAAGGCCCUGCUUUUGUGGGGUGCUCGAGUGGCGAACGGGUGUGUAACACGUGAAUAAGCUGGCCUUGGCGUGGGGAUAACUGCAGGAAACUGGGGCUAAUACCGGCUAGGAGCUCCUGCUGCAGGGGGGGGGUUGGAAAGUUUGGGCGGUGUGGGAUGGACGCGCGGCUUACCAGCUGGUUGGGUGGGGGGCCGCUUAGCAAGGCUUUGACGGGUAGCCGGCCUGGGAGGGUGACCGGGCACAUUGGUACUGCGGUACGGCCCAGUGUCCUACGGGGGACAGUGGUGGGGAACAUUGCACAAUGGGCGGACGCCUGUUGCAAAGACGCCGCGUGCGGGAUGACGGCUAUCGGGUUGUAAACCGCUUUAGCCUGUGACGAAGCGUUAGUGACGGUAAUGGCUAAAUAAGCACCGGCUAACUACGUG